UAAGCCCUCAUGCCUAACCACUGUGCUCUCCAGUGACUGAGAGCAGACAGCAGCUGGCACCCAGCAUGCCUCUCAAUGAAGAGCCUCUAGGACUGUGUGUCUAGAACUUUGCCUUGUUAGCUCAUAGAAUCACCCCCACGUUGCAGAUGUGGAAACUGAAGAGGGAUGAAUUCCAGGGUCGUGGAGUGAGAAAGUGGCAGAACCAAAGCCUGUGCUCUGUCCACCACACCCUUGGGACCUUUAGUCUCACCUGUCUGCCAUCAAAGGAGAGACACGUGGGGGAGUUUGAUUCAAAGCAAAGCAAACAAGGCCAGGUCAAGAGAGGCUGAGACCAAGGAGAGGGGUCAAGCCUUGGAUCCUGGCAUUUAGUGGUGUUGGAAAGACCUCCUUCUGUAGGAGUGACUAGAUUGGGAAUGGUAAGAAGCCCUGGAAAGUUACCAGAAGGCUGCCAACUCUCAGCCAGCACAGCCUCCUUAAUGGCCCUCCCUGUUGCCGGGCAUCAGGCUCCCUGGAAACCUGCAUUGUAGGUCCCAGACCUGAACGAGGCAGUGGUGGUAAGGUCUGAGGUGGGGAUGGAGGUGGGAACCUGCAGCCCCGGGUACUCAGACCUACCCCGGGGCAGGAUGUGUCCUGCACAAGUAGGACAAGCCUACAGGACAGACACACAGCUGUUCAUGCCCUGCACACAGAUGUCCCUUCUGCACGUGGGCCUAGGACCUGGACAUCCUGAAACCUACCAGGGGCUCGAUGGGCUUGGGCCUAUCCUGGGUCUUCACAGCACACAAGGAGCACUGGGACAGGCAGUCCGCUGUGGCAGAGGGGAGCACAAGGAGGCAGGCGGCCAGCAGCAGCCCCUGCCACGCCAUGCUGGCUCAGCGCUUCCUGCUGGGGACGGAGAAAGAGAAGAUAAUGAACCAGUGAGCGCCUACUCUGCAUGGGUGUCCUGAGCCAUCUCACUGACCCCUGCAGGCAACACUGUAAGGCUAACGUUCUUGUUCUCGUUCCCAUCUCACAGUCAGGAAAAUAGAGGCCCAAGGAGGCACAGUGGGUGCCCAAAGUUGGGGGUCAAAGAAGAGAAUUAAUGUGCUGAGUACCUGCUACGUGCCAGCAGCCUUCCCACCUGUUCACCUUCCAUCUGCACGACAGCUCUGGAGGAGGGUCUGUCUAUUUUCAUCAGACAGAUGGGGAAGUCGAGGCUCAAGAGGGGAAGCGAUCACCAGCACCAGUCAGGCAACAGACAAGCCAGGACUUGAUCUGGGUCUGCCAGCCUUCAAAAUCCACUUUACCCACCUACCGAGCGGGAAGACAUUCGGCAUCUGCUUUCCUAGAUUCUCUGAGGCCCCAUCACCUGCCUUUGCCCCCGACUUCUCAGCUUGUCCCCAGGCCUGUCCUAUCUGCCUUGUAAGUUCUCUAGAAUUUGCCUUUUUCACCCCAGCACUUCUACUUACCGUGGCCAUACUUCCACCUUCUCCAAGCGGGCCUCCCUGCCUCCAGGUCCUUCUCAGAUCCCCCCUGUCCGCCCUGAAAUGCCCUGCGCAGCAUGGCAAUCCUGCAGUCAGACCUGUUAGGCUGGGUCAGGCCUGGCCCCUCAUCAUCCCCACUUUAUAGAUGAGAAAACAGGUGCUCAGAGAGGCUGGCAGAUCUAGGGUCACAUAGCGAUUGAAGGUGGGAACCCAGGCCUCUCUUGAGGCUGGGCACGUUCUGCUCCACGAAGCAGGGAGGCUCAGAGAAGAAAACCCAGAAGAGUGGACAUGGGUCCAUCCCACCUCUCUUGCCCUCCCCACCCCCCAUGUUCUCUCAUGCUCUACCACCUGCUGAGUGGCUUGGGGUUCCAGGAGAGCAAGCAGUGCCUUUUAUGCUCAGAUGCAAAGCAGGCAGCUCGUGUUUUCUCUGAUAUCAGCGGAUGGUGAUGGUAGGGCUGGCUCAGUACAAGAUCAGCAGUGAAUUACCUGCAGGGGAGGAGAAGCCUACACCACAGACCUCCUGGCCUGAUGCUUCCCACACGGCGUGGCUUCCAGGUUAGGAGGCCUGAUCAGAGAUCCUUUGUGUCCCAGGCAAAUAACGUCGGCAGCCUUUCCUUUCAUCCACUAACUUCGUAUUUAAUAAUAAUCCUAGCUGAUCAGAUGGUUGUUAAGUACUCAUGAUGUUCUGAGCUGUUCUCACGAGCAAACUCAUUUGUACUCACAGCGACUCUCUGGGGUGGGUCCCAUUGUCGCUCCCACUUUACAGAUCAGAAGACUGAGUUAAGAAGGCUGCCAAUGUUCUUGAGCUGGUAAGUGGCAAAGCUGGGAUUUGUAUCUGGGGGGGCGUCUAACUCAAGCCCAUCUUCUUACCACAGUGCACUGGCCGGGCUCCUCCAGUCUACCCCACUCCCAGCCCAAGUCUCCAGUUUCUCUGGCCCAGGCUCCAGGGAGCCUCUGGUCUUACCAGCCUGAUUGCACCCCUGCCCUGCUUCCCGGCUCUCCACUGCCCCUGAGAGGAAGGCUGCCCCUUAGCUAGCUGCUCCAGGGCUUUCCCACCAAGCAGAGCUGGCACUGACUGGUGCUAACUGCAUGCCGGGCUGUGCUGAGCCUCAGCUGUGUCUUAACGGAAGAAGGUCUCAUAACAAUCCCAUAAACCUGGGACUAAUAUUCUUUCCAUUCUAUAGGCAGGGAAAUGGAAGCCCAGAGACUAUGUCAUCUGUCUAAGGCAGCCCAGCAAAUGUGCAGCACCCAGACUGGCUGUGAGCUUCGUCUGAUGUGGGCCUGACCACACCACCUGCAACUCCAAAAUAGUGCCCCAUGUACCCCAUUUUUCAUGCUUCACCCAAGGGAUUCCCUCUUCCUGGAGCACCUUCCUCACCCCACCCAUCCACUCCUAUCUCCCACUGACCUGGCUAACUCGUAUUUGUUCUUCAACACUCAGCCUUGGUUACCUCCUCCAGGAAGUCUGCCUGACCUUCUGAACUCCCACAGUCACUAUGCUGGCUCUAUGACACAAGUGCUCCUGCUUUCUGAGUUUCUAACCAGUGGGGGGCUUCGUCUCUGCAGGAUAAACAAAUUAUCGUGCACUGCCAGAUGGGUCCUUCAGGAGCAUUUUCACCUUUGCUCAGGGGAUUUGCUCAGGGGAGCUCUUGUCCAUCAGAGAUAGCCCUGUCUGCCCCUCAACUCCCAUCCAGAACGAACUGAGAAGAAAAGGAACUUGGAAGCUCACGGGAUCUAUGGGACUUCCUCAGCCACUACCCCAUGGGCUUUGUGACAGCCCGGUGAGGGAUGCAGGGGCUGGUGGGGGGCAGGAGAGGACAUUUUGGCCUCAUCAGCCUCCAUCAAUCGCUGGAUUCUUUUACCAAAUCUCUUUCUCUAUAUGUUCACAUCCUAUUGUUUCCAUUUCUCUGGGGAAUCCUGAGAACGCACCCAAUGCCCAUUCCAUCUGCCUACUAUCGUCCGUGGCUGCUCUCAUGCUGCAAAAGCACAGCUGGGUGUUGAGACAGGGACUGGACGCCCCGAAUGCCCAAAAUAUAUACUAGCUGGUCUCUUACCGACCAGGUCUGCUGACCCCUGCUUUCACUAAUCUUACAAUCAUUUUCCUAAUUCUAAUUAUUCUCAUCAUUCUGAAGCUGACUUUCUGGGGAAAAAUCAGAAGGGAAUCAUUCCCCUCCUCAAGCCUGCGCUUCUCACUUGUCCCUGAAGGGGACGCAUCACCCCCUUGCCCUGCGCCAGGGCUGCCCCAGUGACAACAUCGCUCAAAGGGCCAGCACACAGUAGUCCUCUCUCCUACCCAGGGCCCAGGGUUCCUGGAAAGGGAAGGGACUGCCUGCCCGCCCCCUCAUCUCCUUUUGGUGAUAUUUCUAUAUUGUAGUCAGAGGACUCAGAGGAGCAGCAAGCAUUAAAA